GACGUAGGGCGCGAGCGUUGUCCGGAUUUAUUGGGCGUAAAGAGCUCGUAGGCGGCUUGUCGCGUCGAAUGUGAAAUCUCAGGGCUCAACUCUGACAUUGCAUUCGAUACGGGCAGGCUCGAGUUCGGUAGGGGAGACUGGAAUUCCUGGUGUAGCGGUGAAAUGCGCAGAUAUCAGGAGGAACACCGGUGGCGGAAGGGCGGGGUC
rnacentral:rRNA from 1 species